UGAUUUGUUCGUUCUUGCCAGAAUCAGCGUCCUCUGGAGCUCGAGAGAUCGAUGUUAUUCUGCCCUUAGACAGUCUCGCGCUGUCAAAUAGUCUUUCAAUUUUCACAAUCAAACAGCUCACAAAUACCUGAAUUUAGCUCUUGUUGUGUUCUAAUGGGUGGAUUGUGUGCAUUCGCGGUAAUAUUUUGUUUUAAAAAGCUCUUAAAACUAUAAAAAUGCUUUUAUUGUGAGCUCCUCGUGAGACUGCACGCGCUGAUGCAGCGGUGAUUUCUCUCUGGUCUUUCUCACUGUUCUGGCCAGACAUCAAUUAUUAAUGAGAUCUGAGCCGGUAAUAAUAACAUAUGUUGGUUCAGCUUGUCAGUGUGAAUUAAAUGUGUAUUUAUUUGUCCGUUCUCGCCGAAAAACCAUCACCGUGUUCUGGAGCGCAGAGCAAUCGAUGUGAUGUUCAGCCCUUAGACUAAGAAAAUCUCACAAGCACUCAUAAACAACCAUUUUCAUCUCUAUAAUAUGUUCUUCUAAUUGUUUUUUGUUGAUUCGCCGCUGUGUUUUAAUGUAAAAGGCUGUAGUUUCUGUAUGUACACUUUUUUUCCCUUGAAGUGUUCAGACGUCUCGCGCUGUCAGACAGGCUGCAGCAAAUAUUUCAUUUUAACAUGUUAACAGCUCACAAACAUCUGAAUUUAGCUCUUGAUGUGUUCUAAUUGGCGGAUUGUGUGCAAUCGCCGUAAUAUUUUAUUUUUAAAAGGUCUUAAACAAGAAUAAACUCGUUUGUUGUGAGCUCGUUGAGACUGCACGCGCUGUUCGGAGCGGUGACAUAUCUCUCGUCUAUCUCUCUGUUCUCUGUCGCCAGACAUCAAUUAUUAAUAAGCCCUGACCCGCUAAUAAUAAGAUAUGUUGGUUUAGCUUGUCAGUGUGAAUUAAAUUGAUUUAUUUAGUUGUAUUUUUAACCGAUUUAAAAGUGAAACUAAGCGAGACUCCUCCCUCUCAGUCCCGGGAAUUGCUCCUGUAGAGGCGCAUUUUCUCUCAGACAAUGAAAGUCUCAGCACACAUACAUUCCUCACACAGAGCCAAAAAUCCAUAUUCAAAUCAAAAUAGCCGACUUCCUGUUGGUCGUAGCUAAUGACUGUAAAUUAGAAAGUUGUCCGUCUUAAUAAGAACAAUAUAUGUACCGAGUUUGGUGUCUGUAGCUAAAACUAAGCCCCCCACUUUUGACAAAAGGUGGCGCUAUAGAGUGCCUCCUCCACGCCCUUUUAUGACCUUUUGCCAGUGUCUA
ensembl:lncRNA